rnacentral:lncRNA from 1 species
AUUCUGGUAAACACUCAUUUGUUGAUUGUCAAAAACUUUUACAGUCAGCAUAUUAUAAAUAAGACUAAUCCCGUUUCACUUUCCAUUUAGGCAUAAAUAUAUGGAGUUUGAGUGAACAAAGACUGUUCCAUAAAGCAUUUGCAAUUUAUGGAAAAGAUUUCUCCUUUAUACACAAAAUGGUGAGAACAAAGCAGGUGUCACAGUGUAUUGAAUUCUACUACAACUCCAAGAGGCUUUCAGAGAAACAAAACAAGCAGAGGGAAAGAGAAAAAGAAAGUUUGGAAAAAGAGAGAAUUGCAGCCGCCAUCAGUCAGGUUCCUCCAGCCCCGAAGGUGUUGGUUAACCAAGCCAGUAUUGACCGACUGAUUCAUACCCCACCACUUCCCACAAGCUUUCCCUGUAAACAGUGUGGAAAGAUGUUCUAUAAAAUCAAAAGUAGAAACGCUCACAUGAAGAUCCAUCGGCAGCAGCAAGAGGACUGGAGGGAAAAACUACAGCUACACCCAAACCAGCACCACAAUCUUAACCUGACCAGGGCACUGGCUCACCCAAACCAGCAAAUCCUAACCCAGACCCACCAUCAGAAUCACAUCCUGACCCAAAGCCUGAUUCAGAACUUGGUCCACUCACAGACCCAGUUGGCUUUUCUUCAAAGCGCAAAGACUCCAAGUACAUGCCCAACCAGCAGUACAAGUUGCAUGGCUCCCACCCAGAAUUCACAGAUAGGGCCCAAAGCACCUCCCUUAAAACUCCACACUGGGCCUCAGCAGACCUGGGGCUCCUUGCAUAGUGUAGACACAGGAGGCCCGUUCUAUAACAGAGGCUCCGUGGUAAACGGGCUCCAUUUGAACAUACAGGACAGUGUCAGUAAACCAUGGGCUGAUACCCAAUAACUGACUUGUACGGUUUAAAACUCUUGUUGGCAUAAGAAGUUAUUAAAAUAUAAUACUGCUUUAAAAAGUGUUUUAAAAGACUUCUCAAAUUCAAGAACCCAGUGUAAUGUGGGGAGAAAAAAAAAACCCCUUCAAAGCUUGAAGAAAACACUUUUAUUUUACACGGCACAAGACAAACGCUUAAGAUUCAAGUUUAUUAAAUCACAUCAAAUCUAAAAGCCUCCAUUAGGACCUGGGGAUAAAAAAAAAUAUAUAUAUAUAAAAACAGUUACAAAAAUGAUAUUCACCCAUUAACAAACUUUAGUUGCUGCCUUAAGUAAACUUGGUUGUACAAGUAUUUAACUUACAUUAAACUUCAACUUAAUUUAAAUUGCUCAACUUAUCCGAGUAAAAGUACUGUAAAAAUAUAAGUUGCCAUGACUUCUUGUAAACAGAUUAAAAUAAUAAAAUACUACCCAAUGAUCACUGGGCAUAUUUGUCAAGGGGCGCACUCCACUGGCCCACUCGGGCAUAGUCAGCUGGUUUCCUUGCAACAGAUUCCCAAAAAGAGGGCUUCAUAGCGGUUUGUUUCUGCAGUUGCAUGGGCUUAAGCAUUUGGGGAGGAACUGAAAAAUUGAAGGCAUGAUUAAGAUAAGCACUUACACCGAAUAGUUCUAAAUCAUAGGUAAUUAAGCAGAUUACUUACCCUUCACAGGGUCCUUGAUAAAUCCAAUUCCAGGAGUCUCUGCUCUAAACUUUCGGUCCACAAAAGAGCUUUCAACGCCACGUAUUGGAUAAAUGCACCUUAUGGUCAUUCUGAUUAAGUCAAAAGAUCUUGUAAACAGUUUUGAAACAAGCAAAGUCAUAGUUGCACAGCUUUAGCACUUUCCUUUUGUUUUAGAGCUCCAUAUUACAAGUGGUUUACUAGGGGUGCUCAGACCCUCAAUAACAUACCUGUAUGCAGCAUCUCUUGUGAUGACUUGCCUGCUGUCCGUGGAAUACAAAUCAUGAAAUAUGAUCUCAUUUUCAUAGAUCACGUACUGCUGAUCAAUCUGAAAAGCAAGAAGUUGAAUAGAGACAUCUUGUCAGAUUUCACAGGACCCCCCCCCAAACAACUUUACCUGAAAUCUAGUCCCACAAGUGUUAAGUCCAAAAGAGAAGAGGACCCUUGUCUCAUCAGUUUCUUGGGGUCUGCAGCUUCGGUCCAACAGCGUGGUUCUGGCAGGAUCGGCAUAAGGUACCACUUUAGUGAUGUCCGUCACUACAGUCAUCACACCCUCAGUAGUGCACACUUCAAAGAUGAGAAAAAAAAAAUAAAAAAUAAAGUCAGAAAGAAUGGGGAUGGGAUAAAAAUAGUAUGUCACUUCUCACACCACUUCAUCCCUAGACCUGUAUUAGACCAAACGAGCCAAAGCCCACAGAAACCAGCUAGCUAUAUAAUCAACAUUUGAAGUGGAUCAAAACUUUAUCAAAGUUGUCCUAAAACCAAAAUGCGUUCUUGUCUUGACAACUUUGAUGAACUUUUUUGAUCCACUUCAAAUGUUGACUACUGUAUAUGCGUGCUUUCUGAUGCCAACGUGACAGAUUUGGGGUAAGUCAAUAACAGCCAUUACAUUACCCAAAAGCUCAGCGGUUUGGAAGUGGCAGCGUUUGGCUGACUUAUCAAUCUCCAGGGUUUUAACAUUUCUGGAGAGAAGUUCAAAAGUGCCAUAGAACUGCUGUAGAGUAAUAUCCUAUAACAUAGGGAGACUUCAGGUUAAAUUUCAGCCACACUGUCACAACUCAAUUAUGAGAAUUUUAAAGUGGCUUCUGCAACUGGGCCCUGCUUGAGGUUUAGGUUUAACCUCAUAAACGUAUCCAAUGGUAAACAGAGGCACAGCCAAUAUUAAUGUGGUGCUGUCAUUGGUCAGGAUGUAGCCACGCUCCGAUGCCAGCUGUGGGGUCAGGGUGUAAGACCCAAUGGCAAUGUCCCACAAGUAGUCAUACUGCUGAUGGUCCUUCAUGAAGCUUAUGCCACUUUCAGUACACAUGCUGUCAAACACUGGAGGUACUGUGGAGACAAAAUUAAAAACACCCCCUAAAAAUGUAUGGAAGACAGUACCAUACUAAGUGUCAAAAGUGUUUGAUUCAUCUGAAAAUAGUCUCAUGUCCAAGAUCUAAAACCAUAACUUUUUAAAAUGCUAAAAAAAAGAAAAAAAAAAAGUUAAUGGUUCUUACUGGCAUCAUCGAUUAAAGCAGACACAGAAGAAAAGUGGUAAUAUGCCUCCAUCUGAGGUAUGAUGUUCAAAGUCCAUUUAAUUUCCAGAGAGUACUUAAAGCCCACCGAAACGUACUGCAAGAGAGAGACAAAACGCUGAAACCGAAGACGAACAUUUAACACACGGGUCUGAAGUUACGCCCACUUGGUCUUACAAGCAUGCAGCAAGUCCAUAGAGCAGGGUUUCAUAUAAUACAGUUGUAAAAUUCUCAAACAUGGAUACAAAAUUCACAUUAAGCUGUACACUAUAUAGCAAAAUCUCAACUGCCUGCAAAAGCAUCUUAUCAGCCAGCUCUUUAUAUAAAUUUGGAUCUAAAAGCAUCUGUCCAACUUCAACAUACUACAGUAUACUUGCUAAAGUGUAUACCACCCAUGCAUCUCAAUUGCUUGAGUGGUCACAAAGCCCAUGUUAAAGAUCACUGUACUUCAACCUGCUAACAUGAAUGCAUGAAGUAAGAUCAUGACUUCCUGUAAAACUGCUUUGAAACGGUGCAUUACAAAAAGUCCUGACCUAGAAAACCAUGAACAAAAGCAAACCUCACCUGCUUCACAACAAAUUGGUCAUCAAAAGGCACCCUAAUGAUGUACGCAAAAGGUAUUUCUGCCUUCUGAGACUCUGGUGAUGGAAUACCCCAUCUGUGCGGCAGUCAAUACAGAGAUCUCCUGCCCAUUCAGCUCCACGGACACCAGUUCCACAUCAGAAGGAAUAUUACCCAGGUAGACCUGGAAAACUCGCUCCUCAAGGGUCGUUUCUGGAUGAGUCAGUACAGUUAAAGUAUACCCCAUCACCCAAAGAGAAGCAGUGAUAUGCCCAAACAUGGUAUUCAUUCCAACUCACGGUUAACUGAAAAGGGAGGAUGAGGAAUUGGUGGAGUAGCCAUCUGCCGGACCACAUUAUGCUUGGUCACCACACCAUGCUGGUCCACAAGCAUUUGCUGGUAGGUCAGCUGGACCAUGUACAGCUCAUUAUACACAUUUUCCAUCACAAAGCUCUGUAGACAAAUGUAAACAUGAGAUUCAUAAUCUCCUAAUCCACUUCAGGAUGCUUCAAAACAAAUUCCAGGAUCAUACAUGGAUAAAACUUCAUGGAGCAUACCUUUCGUAUUCCUCCCUCAGCAGCAAAGGGGAUGCUACUCUCUACAGUCUCUUCAGCAACGGUCACAGAGUAGCCUCGGUCUAUCGCAGCCUGUUCAUCUACAACCUCACCAUCAACUCCUAUGCCUAUGUACUCGCUCCUCAACUCAGAGGGUCCAACAACCAGGGGAGUCAUUACUGCAGGGGUCCUCCAGUGAAGUCUGUAGCCAUCAAAAGAGCCUUUAUCUGAAAGUCGAAGAAUCCGCGUGUAAAUAUGGAACCUGAAGGUGACUUUUGCAACUCUACAGAGUCCGUAACAGAUAAGAACCCACACUGGUUCUUACCCAGUGAACAGGCAGCAACCAGGUCCACCAUGACCACCAUCCAGUUCUGUCUGAAAAACACUGUGGCUCGGAUCACUUCAACCGCAACACCAUUAACCUGAAACAAGUUUGAUGCAGUAAUUGAGAUUACAAGGCAAUCCUAAAGGUUUAAACGCUUGAGAUCAGGACACAUGCCCCUAUUCAGAGAGUUAGAUGACAUUAACCACAUACCAUUUUUACAGAAGCAUGGCAUUGUCCAAAGGUUGUUCGGAAGACAAGUCUGCCAGGUGUGACCAUUAUGAAGUAGCCCAGAGUAGCAGCAUUUUCAGUUGACAUGACCUCAGACUGCUGGCCCUCUCGUUGUAGCAUCACCUGCCAGGCCUCAACAGCUGAACUUUGGGCCUGGUAGCAAAAACAAAUUUACCAAAAACCACGAUUUAAUCCAAAAGAGGACG